UGUGCAAGUUGUGGAUGGAUGUGUAGGAUGUGGAUGGUGUAGAUGGAUGUGGAUGGUGUCGAUGAUGAAUGUGUAGGAUGUGGAUGGUAUAUGUGAAUGUAAAGGAUGUGGAUGGUGUAGAUGAAUGUGUAGGAAGUGGAUGGUGUAGAUGAUGAAUGUGUAGGAUGUGGAUGCUAGUGAAUGUAAAGGAUGUGGAUGGUGUAGAUGAAUGUAUAGGAAGUGGAUGGUGAAGAUAAGUUUGUGGAAGGUAUGUGGCUUGUGAAAAUGAUGUAUACUAGUCCUUUACGAUAAGUAGCCAGUCAUUUUAACGUCAGAGAUAUACGAUAAAUUUUACCCGAGUUAUUUUCAGAAUUAUAUUACUAUCAAAGAGAUUCAAUUUUCCAGAGUUAUUUAACCGAGAAUAAACUAAAAUACGAAAAAGGAAGAAAAAAUAUUUAACA
rnacentral:sRNA from 1 species